rnacentral:rRNA from 1 species
GCGCCCCGAGCGCGUCUUGUGGAGCCUGCCGCGUGAGCUGAUGAGGUUCUUCGGAUCUGUAAAGCUCUGUUGUCAGGGAAGAACAAUUACGGGAGUAACUGCCCGUGCCUUGACGGUACCUUAUUAGAAAGCCACGGCUUACUACGUGCCAGCAGCCGCGGUAAUA